GACGUAGGUGGCGAACGUUAUCCGGAAUUAUUGGGCGUAAAGGGUGCGUAGGCGGCAUGAUAAGUUAUUGGCGGAAAAUCGAGGCUCAACCUCGUGGAAACUGCUAAUACUGUUUUGCUUGAGUACAGGAGAGGUUAACAGAACUCCAUGUGGAGCGGUAAAAUGUGUAGAUAUAUGGAAGAACAUCAAUAACGGCGAAGGCAGUUAACUAGCCUGUUACUGACGUUGAGGCACGAAAGCGUGGGGAGCAAAAAGG
rnacentral:rRNA from 1 species